rnacentral:rRNA from 1 species
UACGUAGGGACCGAGCGUUGUCCGGAUUCAUUGGGCGUAAAGAGCUCGUAGGCGGCUAUUCAAGUCGAACGUGAAAUCUCGGAGCUCAACUCCGAAACUGCGUUCGAUACUGGGCAGCUAGAGUCUGGUAGGGGGAUCUGGAAUUCCUGGUGUAGCGGUGGAAUGCGCAGAUAUCAGGAGGAACACCGGUGGCGAAGGCGGGAUCCUGGGCCAGUACUGACGCUGAGGAGCGAAAGCGUGGGGAGCAAACAGG